CUGGCUGUUAUUUAUAACAGUGUCGUGUCUUGCAUGUCCUGAUUUUGCUGAGUUAGAUGUGUUCCUAUGUCAACAUAUUUUGUUGACCCUGGAACAACAACAUUUUACUCCAAAAAUAUAUUCUUGACCAUAUCCCUACACCUAAACCUAACCUUAACCAUGAGUAAUCCCUAAAAUCAGAGGAAAUGAUAGAUGAAUGACACUGAUCUGCAAGCACCAAACAGUGAUUUUAAGCAUAAACUUCACAAAAUCUAUAAACUGGUUCUUCAAAUCUGAUUGGUUAAUCUCAAUGUUGUUCCAGGGACCACAACAUGUCUCACUUGGUAAAAUCAGGUUCUGCUUGUGUCUUACAGGCUGUGCUCAGUUUUCUGACAGCACCUCCCGACAGAUGAAAUCCAACCUUUAUGGCUCUGAAAUAUUAAUGUCGAUGCUCAAUGUCUUUUCACUCUCCCUUCCCCCCACCCAUAAUGAGUAAACGUCUCCCCUGGUUAGUGUUCGACUUCCUCGCUUCUUCGCAACUCCAACAGCUCUUUUGACAUAGGGUAAGUCUGUCAUGAAAUGGUUACGCAAGAUCACCUGAGAAUUUCAAUAAAUAAAUGUUUUCCUUUAAGACACCCCCUCACAUAAUUCCAGAAAUGUGCUUCUCACACCUUGUUUAAAGUAUUAACUGUCUUGGCUCUCGGCUGCACUACAGGUUGGAAUUCAGGACUGAAGAUGUGCCCAAAUAUGAUAUGAAUGAUAUUUACUUGGCAGAUGUUGAAUUUGGCUCGAUUUUUCCACAGAAAAACAGAGAGGGAUGUCAAACAAGAGGAGAAAAGCGGAGAUACGGAUUCUGUUGGAUAAUAUGAAGAGGAAAUUAAACAACACACAAACCAGUCUCGAGAUCGAGAUUGUUUUCAGGGUGAGCUCUAUCCCACGACAGCACUGAUGUCUCUUUUCGUUGUUGUAAAUGCCCAUUAAAUGUAGUUUUAUGGCUUUAAGACUUAAUUAGGCUGCUAUAAACUG
rnacentral:lncRNA from 1 species